rnacentral:rRNA from 1 species
UACCAGCUCUCCGAGUGCUGUGGAUGUUUAUUGGCCCUAAAGCAUCCGUAUCUGGCCUAGUUAGUCCCCUGUUAAACCCACCGAAUUAAUCGUUGGCGUGCGUUUUAUACUGCUCGGCUAGUCGACGGGAGAGGCACACUUUAUUAUCGGGUUAGGGGUGAAAUCCUAUAAUCCCGGGAAGACCACCAAUGACUAAAGCUGUCUGCUAGAACGCGCCCGACGGUGAGGGAUGAAAGCUGGGGGAGCGAACCGGAUUAGAUACCCGGGUAGUCCCAGCUGUAAACGAUGCAGGCUAGGUGUUUGGACGGCCACGUGCCGUUCUAGUGCCGCAGGGAAGCUGUUAAGCCUGCCGCCUGGGGAGUACGGUCGCAAGAUUGAAACUUAAAGGAAUUGGCGGGGGAGCACCACAAGGGGUGAAGCUUGCGGUUUAAUUGGAGUCAACGCCGGAAAUCUCACCGGGAGCGACAGCAGUUUGAAGGCCAGAUUAAAGGUCUUGCCAGACGAGCUGAGAGGAGGUGCAUGGCCGUCGCCAGUUCGUGCCGUGAGGUGUCCUGUUAAGUCAGGCAACGAUCGAGACCCGCCUCCUCUGUCGCAACCAGCCUUGAGCUGGGCACACUGAGGAGACCGCCGUUGAUAAAGCGGAGGAAGGAGCGGGCCACGGCAGGUCAGUAUGCCCCGAAUCUCCCGGGCCACACGCGAGCUGCAAUGGCAGGUACAAUGGGUUCCGACCUCGUAAGGGGAAGGCAAUCUCGAAAGCCUUCCGUAGUUGGGAUUGAGGGUUGUAACCCAUCCUCAUGAACAUGGAAUCCCUAGUAAUCGCGUGUCAUCAGCGCGCGGUGAAUACGUCCCUGCUCCU